GCCUCUGUGGCGCAAUUGGCAGCGCGUACGACUUGUUAGUAAAACCUUGGAAAGGACCCAAUUCUGAGCCAUUACUGACCCAACCUAGCUACGAGAAAUCGUCGGUGAUCGUAAGGUCCGGAGUUCGAGCCUCCGCUGAGGUA